AGUAGGCGUGAGUGAACAGAUGUAAAUGGGAGACAUAUGUAUUAAUGGGGUUACAGCUGACUGUAAUGCUAAACCGUGGCCAGAGGAGGCUGGGUGUUUCUGGAUGUGGAGUCCCAGAUGACUUCCUCUUUGAAGCUCUACCCUGCAGGUGUGGGCGGUAAGCUCCUGUGAAAUCAGGGUCCCAACGCCACAUAUGACGACUAGUUUCCAGCACAUAUGAAGGAAAACCUUUUAUUAUAAUCAGAAGAAGGUCCGAGUCACAGAUGGACUCAGGAUUCACUUCUACGGGUCUGUGGUGUUGAAGAGAGACAGGACGUAUGUAUCUACCAUCAUUUCUGUCCAUGAGCUGUGGGAGCUGACAGAAAGAUUGAGACUGAGGACCAAAGUGGCAGAAAUGAUCCGUUUCCACAUCAAACACUCGCUGGAGGGUUUUUGGAAAAUCACCGUCUGUUUGGUUCAGAGUCUUAGACCAGUCGAUCACCUGCUCUGUUCUGUUUUGCAUCACAUGGACUUUGUACACGCGAGCUGACAGGUUAAAGUCUGACUUUGUGGCCUCAGAUGUAAUGCUUCAUGCGUAACGUGUAGAAAGGUUCGGGGCUGCGGUGCAUGCAGGACUCUGGCUGCCAUCGCCUUCCUCACAGACUCCAUAUCCAGAAGCUGCAGAUGUUUAAAUGACGACCAUCCUCUCUACCGCUGACGCAUCAACCACUGAUGCGUCAGCGGUAGAUGCGUCAGUAAUUUUAUCACUUGAUUACGAAGGCUCCUGACACAUGUGAAUCUGAAUCAGAUAAGGAGAAAAUUGAUAGAUGGAUAAAGAAUAUUCUCAGGAAAUAAAG